AUGAUGUUUAGGCCGAGGUAUGUUUUGUGUGCUCUGGGGCUAUGCUGUCUAAAUGGAAUUUGUAUUUGUGGAGCUGACGACUGGACCUUUUUUGGACAGGCAUUUCCUCUGGGAGCUAACAUGAGUCUGCAGGUCUCAGCCAAGGUGGAUUUUCGUUACAAGAAUACCCUUGAUGGUUGUGAGUACUACGAUCCCUAAAUAUGUUUCUCAGGGAACUGUGGGUAUUUAACCAGAAAUUUGAGUCCCAAUUGACAGCAGCACCAAUGGGAGGAGUUGGAGGAACAACUGGUGUGAACAGGAAACUGUCAUGACCAGAAAUGUUCCCAGUGAUAGUCCUUUUCAAAUGAGGCGAGUUAAUAAUUCAUUUUCUAGUUUGUAGUAUUAAAGAUGUAGAUGUUUGAGUCCAAUUGUCCUUGUAGCAGUCAAUACAGCUGCUGUUGGAUCAGCACAGUAAACAGCAUGAGAAAUUGGAGACUACUGACACAGGUGGAUCUGGGAAUAAGAUCUGAUAUGGGUGGACCCAACAGAUCUCCAGUCACAGGCGUUCUUCCUUUCAUACGGUAACUAACAACAUUUAAACUCCCUUUGAUGACUUCAGAAACCACUUACCUCAUCUGAUCAGGUUGCUCCAUGAUUAAUGUUAUACUUCUCAGAAUAAUUAAUUAUUUAGAAAAUAUACAUUAUUUUAGUUGCUUAGGUUACUUUCCUAACUCGCUUGGAUUUUUGUUAUUUUGGAUUCUACCUAAUUAAUCUGCUGUAUAUAUUACUUAUUUUCAUGUAAUUGAAGUGUUUCCCAGAACUGUCCGAGGUCCAACAACAAGCUUCUCCCUGGACCAGGUUAGUUUUUGCAACGUCCUGGGUUGUGCUGACCUGUCACUAAGAUCAACUAACUAAUAUCCAUUCAAUCUAUAUGUGAAGAAUAAUGUCUUAGGUUUCAGGCAACUGAAACAUUUGUGUUAUGACUUCUUCGAUCUAUAGGGCUCUUGCACUUUACAAUAUGGCAACACCUCGAUGGCUGGUGUCUACAGGUUUGAGCUAGUUGUGGAAGACUUCCCCAACCAACACAUCACCCUGUCUUACGCAGAUGACUCUAGGUCCUCCAGGGCUCCACUCUAUGCAGGAAGACAUCAACGCGCUGCCAUCUACCAAGCAAUAACCACAGGGACAACCACCAUCACCUGACCCACCACCACCUAGCCCACCACCACCACCAAAAAUAUCUAAAUGAGGCAACAAAAAAAAAGGAAUAAUCGCACCCCCUGUCUUUCCGUGGUCCCUGAGUAACGUGCGCAGGUAGCCUAUAUUUGCAUUGUGUGACCCCCUCAACCCUCUUUUUACGCUGUUGCUACUCUCUGUUUAUCAUAUAUGCACAUUCAUGUACAUACUACCUCAAUUGGGCCGAUCAACCAGUGCUCCCACACAUUGGAUAACCGGUGCCAUCUGCAUUGUGUCCCACCCACCACCUGCCAACCCCUCUUUUACGUUACUGCUACUCUCUGUUCAUCAUAUAUGCAUAGUCACUUUAACCAUAUCUACAUGCACAUACUACCUCAAUCAGCCUGACUAACCGGUGUCUGUAUGUAGCCUCGCUACUGUAUAUAGCCUGUCUUUUUACUGUUGUUUUAUUUCUUUACUUACCUAUUAUUCACCUAAUACCUUUUUUGCACUAUUGGUUAGAGCCUGUAAGUAAGCAUUUCACUGUAAGGUCUACAACUGUUGUAUUCGGCGCAUGUGACAAAUAAACUUUGAUUUGAUUUAUAUGAGCCUUUUGAAGUAGCUUAAUUGUUUGACAGUCAGAUGAAAACAUAAUGACUGGUUGUGUUUAUGCCACGUUAAAAGGUAGGCUAAUAUAUGUAAAAAUUUAAACAACAAAUGUUUACUAUUAGAUCCUUAGAGAUCCUAUUAAAUGAAUACGGAUUCUAUAGGCCUAUGUAAUUCAUAAAAAAGCACGUGCACACAUAGGAGGUCCCUGUACCAGGAUGAAAUGUAAUCUACUUUCACCCAUGCUUAAAUCAUUUCAGAUCUAGCAUCUAUCAAUCUGAGAUGAGAUGUGUCCUAGUGGAGGUCGGACGUACAAAUGAAUGAUAUGAAUAAAACCCAAAAGUACUCGUUACAUGUUGAAAGCUUAGCAGGACAAGAAAAUGGUCCAAUUCAUGCACUUACUAAGAGAACAUCGCUGGUCAUCCCUACCUCCUCAUGAUUCCUGUAAUGACUGUGUCUGCCCUGCCCCUGUGCCAUCUCUGGGGCAUGCUGAUGUGAAGGGCGAGCCACUUUCUUCUCCACCCAUGCGGUCGAGAGAAAUGCAUUCCGAUCAUAUACUGUGACAUUUCAAAAUGCAAUUGAGGGAAAACACUGCUUUGGAUGCUUUGUCCACUUGUCCCUGCCGAAGAGAGGGGGCUCUCA
rnacentral:lncRNA from 13 species